rnacentral:lncRNA from 1 species
AGGUAUUAGUCAGAGGAGGACUUGUAGUGUCAUGGCAGAUUGAAUGGCCAGGAUCAAAAGGAAACCCAAAGGCAGAAGAUCUACCGCUGUCAACGUUUAUCCAUUUCCGUCCUUGUUAUUAUUUCUAUAUUCAACUUACUCUCUGUAACCUCAGGCUAUAUAAGGGGUGGUAACUAGAGGAGAUGUAUCGAUCAACUAUUCAGCCAAAUAUUGGUUAUUAUCAAUACAAGAAUACCUUUACAUACAUACACCAUAUACACAAGUUCCUCACUGUUCUUGGUGAUUUCAUACUUUUCCCCAAUUUCUUCUUCUUGAUCCACUUCAAAUCCAUGGCUGAUCCAUCCGGGAUCUGACAAAUGGUAUUCAGAGCCUCUGCUUCCUUGGUAUUUUGACUAGAUCUGGUUCGGGUUUGUGCUGGUGUUGUGAAAUCCCCAAUCCCACCCUCCCAAAUCGAGCGUUUGUGCGAUGGCUUCUUCGUAUGGCGUUGAUUCCUUGCUUGGUCCGAUCUUCGCCGCCACCGCAGCUACUUCACCUCGCUCGUCCACAAACCCAACUUCUCAGAUCGGUGCCCUCGUCACCACCGCCACGCGGUCAGUGUCACCAUCGUCUUCUCAGUUCAACAAACUAAAUGAGAUGUGUGAUGCAGUGGGCAAGGUCCAGAAGGCAGUCGCUGAUUUGGGACAUCAGCUAUCUGCGUUGUCUCAAGUUCUUCUUGCUGCAGCAGCCCCCAUCGCCACCGCCACCGCCACCUCCCAUGCCACCGCCGUGGUCGCCACGCCUACAAGCAGGUUUCCCGUUGCAGCAACUGGCACCACCUCAGCAUUGGCGCCCACUAGGCGUUCGACUGAAUGCUCGAGUAGUGUUUUGACCUCCAUCACUGCGCAUCCGAGCGGAACGCCUCCUGCAGUCACCACCAUCUCCACCACCUCUGUUGCCUGCGUCAUCACCGCGCCUCCAACCGGACCCCCUGCGGCAGUCACCACUGCUACUGCUUACCGCGUCAUCAGGAUGCACUGGAGUGACCUUCGUGUGGUGAAUGACAUCCCCAGUGAAGUGUCUCUUUCAUGUACACAAGCUUCAAAAAUGUUGCCCACCAACUGUUUGACUGAAUGCCUGAGCGACAUUAUGUAUCUGAAGGAGGCAAGGUUAACAACCAAAACGGCUCACCUAUCUCCGCCAGCGACAUUGGUCAUGCCUGUCAUCUCUGUGCGUACAUCAACCAACAUCAACACCACCAGAACCGUUGGCGUUGGAUGCCCAGGACUCCAUCUGCAUUCCCAGGUCAGCGGCGCUCAAAGCCACUGUCACUGUCGUUCCAAUACAGUCCAUGGUGACAAGUGCCUUCAUAGAAAAAUGCCUCGACAAGGACAGCCCAGAGAGGGACAUGUCUUUUGUGGCGCUACUAUCAUGGUUUUCUAUCAGCCCUGUGUGCCAGGUGUUUGUCGUUGGUUUCCUUCCUGCAGAGAUACGACCACCAUGGCGACCACCUCUGGUCUGUAGCAGCCAUUUGAGAGCUAGCCCUCUAGUACAGAAGGUAUUGUAUGCAAUAGUCAACAAUGACAUGAGGAAGGGGAGCCUUGGCGCAGUGGUAAAGCUGCUGCCUUGUGACCAUGAGGUCAUGGGUUCAAGUCCUGGAAACAGCCUCUUACAGAAAUGUAGGGAAAGGCUGCGUACUAUAGACCCAAAGUGGUCGGACCCUUCCCUGGACCCUGCGCAAGCAGGAGCUACAUGCACCAGGUUGCCCUUUUUUUUAGUCAACAAUGACAUGAGGGUGCAGAAUAAAGGAGUCAAUGCAAAUCUUAUAUUGCCGUGGAACCCCGGCAUACAGUCCGUAGCUGAGCCACACCAUGUACAAGAUGAUGUUAUAUUGGUUUAUGCAUAUUCUGCUGAGCAGUCCUACCACAAGUGGUUCAUUUCACUGAAAUAUCACUGCCAUGUUACUGGUCAUUCCCUACCGUAUUACGACUUGUAUGGAACACGGUUGACCCUGAUUACCGUUGGCGUGUGUUCCAACAUGAUUUUGCUACACACAGUGGAAUAUCCAGAGUUGGAAGAAAAAAAUGGACUGAAGAAUGUUACAGCAGCAACAACUGAUGAGUGUGUUCUUCCUUUAAAACAGUCCCAGUUUUGUGCCUUUGAAUUUUGGGAAGAGCAGCCCAAAAGUGCAGCUACUACAGAAAGCGAUGCAAGCAACCCAACAGGGGUUGGUGAUCUAUAUAUUGAUGGUUCUUUCACUCUCUGGGCCAAAAUGUUGUUCAUCAAUUCUUUGAUGCAGAAUGAAUACUGGAAACUGGAACAUCAACCAUUAAUUGGUCCCAAGAAGGAAUUGUUUUCUACUGGUAAAAUGUCUUGGUGCCAUGUCAAUUUUCCAAAAUGCCGUAACCAACUCAGCAAGGAAAAAAGAAGGGAUAGUAAUCAGAGGUAUUGUUGAUCUUUGUCUGUCGGGUGCUAGUGCUAUAGUUGAUCACGAGAAUCAGAUGUACAACAAAGAGAAAACUAAAAUUUCACACUGGAAAUUCAAAGGAACACCUCUUGAGUUUGACUUCUAUGAUCAAAGUGAAAUCAAUAUUGAGUUCUUGUUGCUGUCAUAUGCUGCAUCUCAAGUCAAGCGGCUUUUUCCAUGGGAUCCAGGAGAACAUGACCAUUUAGUGAAAAUUACUGCGAUGAUACUAGUUGGAACUGCGGGACAGGUUAUUUCUGAACUUAUCAGCAGCAAAGUGAUCACUCAAAUGGCCCGAUGUAGCACAGAGAAUAAGAUACCACAGUCGGAUGCCUCGCUGUUGCCUUUGUCUGUCGAUUGCUUGUACCCAUUGGUCAACAUCUGUACAAGAUCUGUGAGAAGCAAUCUGAAAGCUAGCUCUCCAGUUCAGACGUACAAUGACAUGAAAGUGCAGACUAAAGGAAUCUAUGCAGCUGUUGUGUUACCAUGGGACACUGGCGUACAAUCCAUUGUAUGUACAAAUUUUACUACAUGUGCUACUGCCAGUUAUCUUCCAGGGAAGCAUACUCCAGCACAUAACAUGAACAUGGUGCAGGUUUUACAAAAGGAAAGAAUUAUGGGGCUGUACAAGGAUACUGAAGAGAUGAUUCCCAUAUCUCUAAGAGACCUACUGAGCAUCACUUUCUCAUACCAAGAUUGUAUAGCGCAUGAAGAUCUCUUUCAUCUGAAGCAGCGAGUGUUUCCUAAAUUUCCUUCUGAUCAAAUCUCAAUGGAGACAUUGACUGUGAUAAUGGUUGUUGCUACUUCCACUUCUUUUGAACCAGCACGACAAGAAUCCAAGUUCAUUGUGGUUUCUGCACAAGAGCUCAAGAACAUUGUUGUUAUUGUACAAGGUCCAUACUAUACCAAUUCUAACCCUACAGGUUGUGGACUAUUCUGGGAAACAAACUCUUCAUGUUCAACCUUGCGACAAUCUGUAUCAUAUAUAUGGGUGUACAAGCGAUUUGACCCAAGAGAUCCACCAUUGGCAUUGUUGUUCAACAUGGCGAUGCAAUCAGGGGAAUGCUAUGCUACGGUGAAACAAAGGAAGUGUCAGAAGCUCAAACAUCUUGAAAUCAUAUGUUGGACGUCUCCAAUUUGGAUCAUAUCAUUUAUGCCUCCCUGAGGCUCAACAUUCUGCUCUCAACUCAGUCCAGGGAGAACCACACUUGGGGACAAGUGUGAUUUCAAGAGGGAUGGAAUGUCAGGUAUUAGUCAGAGGAGGACUUGUAGUGUCAUGGCAGAUUGAAUGGCCAGGAUCAAAAGGAAACCCAAAGGCAGAAGAUCUACCGCUGUCAACGUUUAUUCAUUUCCGUCCUUGUUAUUAUUUCUAUAUUCAACUUACUCUCUGUAACCUCAGGCUAUAUAAGGGGUGGUAACUAGAGGAGAUGUAUCGAUCAACUAUUCAGCCAAAUAUUGGUUAUUAUCAAUACAAGAAUACCUUUACAUACAUACACCAUAUACACAAGUUCCUCACUGUUCUUGGUGAUUUCAUACUUUUCCCCAAUUUCUUGUUCUUGAUCCACUUCAAAUCCAUGGCUGAUCCAUCCGGGAUCUGACAGAUGGACCCCGCAAUCGAUGCUAAACUUUUUUUUUUUGGAUGAACAGGG